AAGGUAACAAGUUUUUAUUUUAGUUGUGGUUCCAAAGGAAAGUAAUAGUUAUUAAAACCAUUGUGGCUUACUGAACAAUGCUUGAAGCAAUUGUAGGUGAUGAGUUGAUUGGCGAAGGAGACAGACAGGUAUAUCAUCUGGGAGAACUAUAUGGCAAAGGUUGCUAGUGCUACAUCUGGUUCGUUAAUGUCCAAUUCUCUUCAAAUUGGUGAGGCUGCUCUAAAGGUUGGUCCAAUGGUCAAAAGGAAGAGCCCAUCAGAACUAAGGGAAGAGCAAUUGAAGAGGAUAAAUGCUGUUGAGAUUGUAGAUGAAUCUCCAGCUCCAUUGUCUGGUUCAACGAAUAACACUAAUGAUAAUGGGCUUAAGAAACCAGA
rnacentral:misc_RNA from 1 species